rnacentral:rRNA from 1 species
GGGCCCGCACAAGCGGUGGAGCAUGUGGUUUAAUUCGAUGCAACGCGAAGAACCUUACCUACUCUUGACAUCCAGAGAACUUUUCAGAGAUGAAUUGGUGCCUUCGGGAACUCUGAGACAGGUGCUGCAUGGCUGUCGUCAGCUCGUGUUGUGAAAUGUUGGGUUAAGUCCCGCAACGAUGCGCAACCCUUAUCCUUGUUUGCCAGCGAGUAAUGUCGGGAACUCCAGGGAGACGUGCCGGUGAUAACCGAGGAAGGUGGGACGACGUGCAAGUCAUCAUGGCCCUUACGAGUAGGGCUACACACGUGCUACAAUGGCGCAUACAGAGGGCGGCCAACUUGCAGAGAGUGAG